UAAUACGUAGGUGGCAAGCGUUAUCCGGAAUUAUUGGGCGUAAAGCGCGCGCAGGCGGUUUCUUAAGUCUGAUGUGAAAGCCCACGGCUCAACCGUGGAGGGUCAUUGGAAACUGGGGAACUUGAGUGCAGAAGAGAAAAGCGGAAUUCCACGUGUAGCGGUGAAAUGCGUAGAGAUGUGGAGGAACACCAGUGGCGAAGGCGGCUUUUUGGUCUGUAACUGACGCUGAGGCGCGAAAGCGUGGGGAGCAAACAGGAUUAGAUACCCUGGUAGUCCACGCCGUAAACGAUGAGUGCUAAGUGUUAGAGGGUUUCCGCCCUUUAGUGCUGCAGCUAACGCAUUAAGCACUCCGCCUGGGGAGUACGGUCGCAAGACUGAAACUCAAAUGAAUUGACGG
rnacentral:rRNA from 1 species